GGGCCGGUAGCUCAGCCUAGUAGAGCACCGGACUUUUAAUCCGGUGGUCGCGAGUUCGAAGGCAUCUUUCAAAAGAAAGAUGCCGAAUGUCUCGCCCGGCCCA
rnacentral:tRNA from 1 species